UAAAGAAGUAUGUUCAGAAACAUCUACCAAGUAAAGUCAGGCCUACAGAAACUUCACCAGAACAAGCAGCAAAUCAGUUGCAUCCAGUUGCCAAGUCUGCAACACAUGCAGAGAUUUCAUGCAACAGGGAUAGUAAGAUAGAUGGCUUAUUGAAUCCAAUAGCCCAGCAAGAGGCAAGACAGGCCAGUGACUACAAAAAAAAUGACAAGAAAUCUGAUGGGGGCAAUGUUCUCAAAAGAACAAUUAACAGAGUCCUCAGUCACUGGCAAAAAAGGCAUCCAAUGCAAUGACGUCAGGCAGGCACUGGAUUCUUCGAAGGUUAGGCUGAUAAUAGAUCAUGUGAAAACCAGGUUCCCUCAUACUGAUGAUACAACCAUCAAAGCCUGCAUGGCUCAAAAGUUGAGGGAUGAAAGGACAUUCAAAAAAAGCUGCAAG